UUUUCGAUUGUACGUGGGAUAUUCAAAAGUGUGCGGAAACGAAAAAGUAAUGAUGCCACAAGUUUAGUUUCUUCCAGCUACACAAGCCACUGGGUGUGGAUGUUAAAGUUGGUAAAAUCGACCCACCCUAGUAGACAGGUC